rnacentral:rRNA from 1 species
GACGAACCGUGCGAACGUUAUUCGGAAUCACUGGGCUUAAAGAGCGCGUAGGCGGCGUCGUAAGUUGGAGGUGAAAUCCCAUCGGCUCAACCGUGGAACUGCCCCCAUACUGCGAUGCUUGUAGAGAGGUAGGGGUCGAUGUGGAACGUUACCUACGUGGAGCGGUGAAAUAGUGUUGUAGAUUGGUAAGGAACGCCAGUGGCGAAAGACGGCGAUGCUGGAUCUCUACUGACGCUGAGGCGCG